UACGUAGGCAGCAAGCGUUGUUCGGAAUUACUGGGCGUAAAGAGUGUGUAGGCGGUGCUCCAAGUCUGGUGUGAAAUCUCCCGGCUCAACUGGGAGGGUGCGCCGAAUACUGAAUGACUAGAGUGUGGGAGAGGUGAGUGGAAUUCCUGGUGUAGCGGUGAAAUGCGUAGAUAUCAGGAGGAACACCGGUGGUGUAGACGGCCACUGGACCAUAACUGACGCUGAGACACGAAAGCGUGGGUAGCAAACAGG
rnacentral:rRNA from 1 species